AUCACUAUGACCAGGGGAGACUGUGGAGCAGUCAUGUGGAAAAUCAUCAGAGAAGGAAGGUCCUUGAUAAGUGUCAAACAGCCUAGGUCCAAGAACCAGUCCCUGUGGGAUCCCACUGGAAACACUUGUUGAGAACAACUUCUCUCAAAGCAGAGGUAUAUUAUAAUUAGAACUGCAGCUGGCAUGCUGCGUUGUUCGGAAAUAAUUCAGGGCUUUCAAUCUACGUCUCUUCCAAAUGGAGUUUCUUUGUAUACUGAUGUAAUUAUAUGUAGGUUGCAUAGUAGUCCUCAACAUACCAGUAUGAUUAAAAAAAUAUUCAUGACAACUUUUGUUUUGUCAAGAGUGUGGAACCAAAGGGACUGAA